rnacentral:rRNA from 1 species
GGGUUGUCGUGCCAAUGGCACUGCCCGGUAGCUAAAUGCGGAAGAGAUAAGUGCUGAAAGCAUCUAAGCACGAAACUUGCCCCGAGAUGAGUUCUCCCUGAGACUAUAAGUCUCCUGAAGGAACGUUGAAGACGACGACGUUGAUAGGCCGGGUGUGUAAGCGCAGCGAUGCGUUGAGCUAACCGGUACUAAUGAACCGUGAGGCUUAACCUUACAACGCCGAAG